rnacentral:lncRNA from 1 species
GUGUUGUUUGGGGUUAAAAUAUGUUAGAAAACAAUAAAUUUGAUUGAUUUUAAGUGCUAGAGAUGCAUGAAAACUGUUCAGUAGAGUGGAGAAAGACAUGUUGAAAUUGGGUCCCAAAUGGGCUAAGAACUCGGAAACAUUGCGUUGAACCACUAAAUGACUUAUCUAAUGUUGUUUGGGGUUAGAAUAUGUUAUAAUACAACAUAUUUUAUUGAUUACAAGUGCUAGAGAUGCAUGAAGAGUGUUUAGAAGUGUGGAGAAAGACUUGUUGAAAUUGGG